rnacentral:rRNA from 1 species
GCAAUACAAGUAUUAAAGGUCCCGCCUGCCCAGUGAACACAUCUUCAACGGCCGCGGUAUUCUAACCGUGCAAAGGUAGCGUAAUCACUUGUCUUCUAAAUAAAGACUAGUAUGAACGGCUAAAUGAGGGCAAAACUGUCUCUUAUAACUAAUCAGUGAAACUGAUCUUCCAGUACAAAAGCUGGAAUUAAAACAUAAGACGAGAAGACCCCGUGGAGCUUAAAAUAAACACUACCCACACCAACACUAGUGAACUAUUUUGAGUUGGGGCGACUUCGGAGUAAAACAAAACCUCCGAGCACAGAACCACCGCUUCUAACUAAGGCCUACAAGCCUAAGUAAAAAAUGACCCGGUCUUACCGACCAACGAACCAAGUUACCCCGGGGAUAACAGCGCUAUCUUCUUCAAGAGUUCCUAUCAACAAGAAGGUUUACGACCUCGAUGUUGGAUCAGGACACCCAAAUGGUGCAGCCGCUAUUAAAGGUUCGUUUGUUCAACGAUUAACAGUCCUACGUGAUCUGAGUUCAGACCGGAG